UGUAAAAAAUACAACUUGCCUUUAGUACUGCCAAAUAACUUUUCUGACUAAACAGAACUCAAAUAAUCAAAUAGUGUAGUAAAACUCAUUAUAACAAGUUUUCACAACUAAUUUGGGAAUUUCACCUAACAAACUUAAGAAACUGAGUUGACUCAACUUGCAUAAUUAAGUAUCUAUAAGAGAGAAGUUUCCCAAAGUUCACUGAACUUCUUAGUCAAGUUGGCGCAAGCGCAUUGUUUCCUAACGUAUCAAGGCGACCUGUGGGCUGCAGCUUGAAUUUGUCAGGAGGACAGAAGCCAGUCACCUUCCCUACCUGUACGCAGCGUGGAGCAAAUGACAACAGCAUUGUCAAAGACUCUUCUGUUGCAAUGCAAUGUAAGGAGUGUCCAUUUUCUCACCCGGAUGUAGAGACCCUCCUGACCCAUUACAGGCUUCAUCACGGUCACCAGGGAAAAAGCUGGCUCUGCCUCCACCCCAAGUGCAUGUGCAUCUUUAAGACUUCAGGAUGCAGAUGCUGAGGAGGACUAGAGGCAUGAAAAUUGGAAUCUUGACCGUCAUUGAAGAUGACCUCGCCAUGAAAGCGCCAGACACUGUCACCAAUAUCGCCAUCGUCCUGGAAGAGACUGUUGUUCUACAGGACAUCAAGGAUCUUCUAUCUGCACUGGCCUACCUAUGCGGACUCCUGCAUGACAUGGGGUGCCAAUACUUAUGACCCCUGUAUUUUAAGGAAGAACAUUUAUUUAUUUAUUUAUGAUUAUUAUCAUUAUUCAUUCACAAAGAAAAUUGGUGUCCUUAAAUGUUGGAUAUUCCCUCAUUUUUUAACUUAAGGCAUUAAGAUCAAUUUCUAAAAGAUGAUUUAAUAUUCCUCUUUUUAGUCAGCGUUAGCAGAGGUGCUAAUAAUUCUGUAGAGUACUGUAGGUCAGGGGUGUUCAAACUGGCUAAAAAUAAAAAUAUUGUUUGAUCUAUUUGGAUUUUUGAGUUGUUAUUUAGACUUGUUUUUUCUUGUUAGAGUCAAUGUAUUAGUUGGAAUUUAUAUAUAUUUUCAAGUUGGGAGCAUUUGUUGAUUCAACUUGAUUAUCUAAGUUAUUUACUGUCAAGUAAAAUUUACUCAAAAAAGCUAGUGAAAUGUGUUGACUUGUUUUUUUAAGUUGGAAGAACUUUUGAUUCAACUUGAAUUUUUGAGUUGCCAACCUAAUGUAAGUCCACCUUACUCACAAUACUAAGUUUGCAUUACUAGAUAUUUCAAGUUGGGAGCAUUUGUUGAUUUAACUUGAUUAUUUGAGUUCUUCACUGUCAAGUUGAAAUUACUCAAAAAAGCUAGUGAAAUGUGUUGACUUGUUUUUUUAAGUAAACGCAGAGAGUUUUU